CCUACGGGAGGCAGCAGUCGAGAAUCUUUCGCAAUGGGGGAAACCCUGACGAAGCGACGCCGCGUGUAGGAUGAAGGCCUUCGGGUUGUAAACUACUGUCAGCUGGGAAGAAAGGUUUUCAAUGAAUAGUUGAAAACUUUGACGGUACCAGCAGAGGAAGCCACGGCUAACUCUGUGCCAGCAGCCGCGGUAAUACAGAGGUGGCGAGCGUUGUUCGGAUUUAUUGGGCGUAAAGGGUCCGUAGGCGGUCUAGAAAGUUGGAUGUGAAAUCCUGCAGCUUAACUGCAGAACUGCAUUCAAAACUUCUGGACUCGAGUUUGAGAGGGGUAAAGGGAAUUCCCGGUGUAAGGGUGAAAUCUGCAGAUAUCGGGAAGAACACCAGUCGCGAAGGCGCUUUACUGGCUCACAACUGACGCUGAGGGACGAAAGCUAGGGGAGCGAACGGGAUUAGAUACCCCGGUAGUCCUAGCCGUAAACGAUGAUCACUAGGUGUUGGGAGGGUUAAACCUUUCAGUGCCGCAGCUAACGCAUUAAGUGAUCCGCCUGGGGGAGGUACGGUCGCGAGCGNGAACUUAAAUAGAAGUUAGUACGGCGUGAGACGUGCCGAACGGACGACCGACGAGGGAGGUAGG
rnacentral:rRNA from 1 species